rnacentral:lncRNA from 1 species
AUCUCUAUUAUGCAAUUCAUGCAGGGAACUUGUAGGGAAUGUUUUGGGUUGUCGUAUGCAAUCAUCCAAUCCAAUAACUUGUGGAAAAAACUGAGGGUUAAUUAGUGCAAUUCACGGUUAAUUUGGGGCGUUGAGCAUUCAUAGCUUAUCGAAAAGCAACUGGAAAUCAUUUUGUAUGCAAGUGUGACAUGUGUGGAGAAGAACCUCCUAGCUAGCCUUCCAUCCAUAAGUUUCAUUCAAUUCAUUUUACAAUCUGUUUUGAUUCA